CUGCUGCUCCGGAAGGAAUGGAAGGAUGUGUGGCACCCCCGGCCCCCGCGGGGGGCUGCCGGCUCCCACCUCCUCCCUGGGCUCUCCCCGCACCUCCGAGCGGAUGCGUCACCCUGACGCGGCAGGGAGGGCCGUGGCCAGGGGGCUUCUUCAGCGCCUGGCGGGCCGGGGCCUGUGGGGUCCACCUGGCAGCGACGGUCCCCCGGUUGCCACACAGUGAGGCCGGCCCGGGGUGCCGACAGGGAAGCAGGCCGUGCUGGGAAUCGUCACAAACGACCUGAGCGAUUCACGGAUCCCCUUCUGCGGACUUGGCCCUUGCGCUUUGCCCCGGAAGGAGCACCUCCCCUGAGAUCUCUGCGCGCUCACGGGGCCACUUCAGCGCCUCUGGGCGCUCGCGUGCCGUGCGCUCCCGACGAACGACGAACGGCAGGGACGGGGACAGGCCGACUCCCAGGGCCUGUGUCCUCAGUGGGACAAAAGAUACGUAUAUUAAGGCUGACAUGGGUGGAACAAGGAGAAACCCAACUUCCUUUGAUCCACGGGACGCUCACCGCUGGACCUCUGCCUGCAGGCUCUCCGUGGGAUGCCUACAGUCACUAGAGGGAACAGUCCUUGGCAUCACUGUGGCUCUACGAGACCAGCCAUUUUUAAAGGAACCAGGCUGCGGCCCUCACUCGGUCUGAGCCAAG